rnacentral:rRNA from 1 species
GCUCAGGACGAACGCUGGCGGCGUGCUUAACACAUGCAAGUCGAACGGACCUUCGGGUUAGUGGCGAACGGGUGAGUAACACGUGGGUGAUCUGCCCUGCACUUUGGGAUAAGCCUGGGAAACUGGGUCUAAUACCGAAUAGGACCACGGCAUUCAUGUGCUGUGGUGGAAAGCUUUUGCGGUGUGGGAUGGGCCCGCGGCCUAUCAGCUUGUUGGUGGGGUAAUGGCCUACCAAGGCGACGACGGGUAGCCGGCCUGAGAGGGUGACCGGCCACACUGGGACUGAGAUACGGCCCAGACUCCUACGGGAGGCAGCAGUGGGGAAUAUUGCACAAUGGGCGCAAGCCUGAUGCAGCGACGCCGCGUGAGGGAUGACGGCCUUCGGGUUGUAAACCUCUUUCGCCAGGGACGAAGCGCAAGUGACGGUACCUGGAGAAGAAGGACCGGCCAACUACGUGCCAGCAGCCGCGGUAAUACGUAGGGUCCGAGCGUUGUCCGGAAUUACUGGGCGUAAAGAGCUCGUAGGUGGUUUGUCGCGUUGUUCGUGAAAACUCACAACUCAAUUGUGGGCGUGCGGGCGAUACGGGCAGACUGGAGUACUGCAGGGGAGACUGGAAUUCCUGGUGUAGCGGUGGAAUGCGCAGAUAUCAGGAGGAACACCGGUGGCGAAGGCGGGUCUCUGGGCAGUAACUGACGCUGAGGAGCGAAAGCGUGGGGAGCGAACAGGAUUAGAUACCCUGGUAGUCCACGCCGUAAACGGUGGGUACUAGGUGUGGGUUUCCUUCCUUGGGAUCCGUGCCGUAGCUAACGCAUUAAGUA